rnacentral:rRNA from 1 species
AAUGAACGUUGGCGGCGUGGAUUAGGCAUGCAAGUCGAGCGAGAACCCCGCAAGGGGGGACAGCGGCAAACGGCGUAGUAAGGCGUAGGUACGUGCCCCCGGGUCUGGGAUAGCCAAGGGAAACUUUGGGUAAUACCGGAUACUCUCGAGAGAGCAAAGGUGUGACUCCGCCUGGGGAGUGGCUUACGUGGUAUUAGCUUGUUGGUGAGGUAACGGCUCACCAAGGCAAGGAUGCCUAGGGGGUGUGAGAGCACGACCCCCACGACUGGGACUGAGAUACUGCCCAGACACCUACGGGUGGCUGCAGUCGAGAAUCUUCGGCAAUGGGCGAAAGCCUGACCGAGCGACGCCGCGUGUGGGAUGAAGGCCCUUGGGUUGUAAACCACUGUCAGAGGGGAUGAAGUGCACGGGGGUACUCCCUCGUGUUUGACAUAACCUCAGAGGAAGCACGGGCUAAGUUCGUGCCAGCAGCCGCCGUAA